AUUGAAGUGACGGAUGUUAUUUAAUUAUUUAUAGACUUAUUUGCUAUUGGAAAUGAGAAUCCCAAUUUUUAUAUAUAUUGUGGAUGUAUUUGAGUUAGAGUGAUAUAUCAAUGACGAUGGCACUUAUAAGUUUAUAUUUAUUAACUUAGUUGAACUGAGGCAUUAUGUAUAUACAUGUAUUAAUUGAUUACAUGUGAGAGUUUUAUUAUCAUAUUAGUUAGAAUAAUAUUUGUGGCUAUUAGCAAUAGCAAUCCGUAAGCUUUCACAAGAAUGUAGAUAUUUUUACAUUUAUUUAUUUAUUUUAUUUGGGAUAGCUAUCAACAAAUCUUAAGAAGGAAGCCAACCUUCACCUUAUUUCUUUUCCUCUGCCAGUUCGUCGUUUCGUCCCCUCCCUCUUUAUUGAACCUCAGUUUUAGUUUGCUUUCAACCUUCAAGGAGAUUCAGCCGCCGCCUCUGCUCCGACCGCCGUCGGGUCCAAGUCCGGCGUCUCGUCUGUUCUUCCCUGGUGCCCCUCGCACUACUCUCAUCUUCUCUCAAUUUAGCGAAGAACCCAAAUGAGAAGCCCUAAUUUCAAAAUCCGAAAUCGUCGUCACCCGAGCCCGAAAUUCGGCAAUACAACAGCCUCCUCUUCGACGUGGUCGAAGUUCUCGCACCGGAAGUCCUCUCCGUUCCCCCUUCUUUUCCGAUGUGGAGCCCUAAUUCUUAGAAGAAGGAAAUUACUACUGUCGCGACUGGAAGGCCAACGAACGGCUGAGCUUCGCCCGUCUCUGCCUUGAAUCCAUGCUCGAGAAGCAGAGAAAGAGACAGAGAGUGAGAUCGAGGGGGAGAGCAGCGAGAGAGGUUGAGAGAGAAAGAUCGAGAGGGAGCAUACCUGAGGCAGGGGUGGCGGUGUGAUGGAGACAGCGGCGGUGACGGCGGGCCUUGCCGGAGGGGCGGAUUUUAGAGGGGAAAAUGGAGGCAGAAAACCCUAGAAUUUAGGCAUUCUUGAGGUAAGAUAGCUAAAUGCUUGAUGCUUAUAUAAUUGAACUCUUAGGAGCGUGGAAUGUGAUUAUAUGAUAGAAAUUGGGGGAUAUUGAGCAUGUUACUAUGUGUUGAGCCAAUUUUAGUUUAAGAAUAAGGGAAGAACUACUUUUAAUAUUGAUUGGAGAAGUUGAGGUGAUUGAUUGUGUUAUAAUUUGCUUGUUAUAUGUUGAUGUGGUAAAGGUGAGUGAAGUUUUGAGAUAAAGCAUUCUAACAUGUAGCAAGAUGAUGUAAUUGAGUUCCUAUGGUUUGUAUUUAACAAACGUAUGAAUUAUAUGUUAAGUUGAAACAAAGGGGCUUUGCUGUCAGUUUUUGGCUUGACAGGGCAGUAUGUUUCGAGGUGCUUUUGAUGAUGUUCCCGUAGUCCAAAUCUUUUGAAAUUUUUACAGUAAUAACUUCAUCAUGAGUAGUACGUGUCUACAAAAUUUCAGCUAAAUCCGAGACCAUUGGAUGUGUCAAACGAAUUUCUGAAAUGUACUGCACGAAGCAGCGAAGUUUAGUGGCAGAUUCUGCCUUUUGUGAUAUAACUUUUCAUACACUUGAUGUAUUGUAUUUUUGUAACUUUCUAAUAAAAAUAGACUUUGAGUGAUUUUUAAAAAUGUAAAGCUUGUAUUUUUCUUUAAAGAGGUUGAUUUUAUAUGAUAUUUCAAAGUUGAGAUUUAUAUAUGAUUACAUAUUUGAAGUUACUUACUUGGGAUAGUUGAGUACAAGUGUGCUUAAGUCAUUGGUCAAUUCUUGAAUUGAUGAUUUAGUUAUUAAUUUCAAGCUAAUCUAUAUGGAAUGGAUUAGUUUACUCUUAUACUUUUUCAAUUUGAGAUAUCCCAAGAGAUGUGGUGUUACUAUUUGCUUUUAGCUAAGUCCAUAUAAGUAGAAUACUCAAAUUAGAGGAUGCAACUUUCAAGUGAUAGAAGUUUCAUUCAAGAUUUACUUUCUACUUAUUAUCCAAUCUUACCUUGGGAACCUCAUUAUAAUGAAGGUUCGAGUGGCAGUGUAGAAUGGACAAGCAAAGACUUCUAUUUCAUUAAGCGUAUCAGGUUAAGCUGCGAUGCAGAUGGUAGCAAGCAGAGCAAAGCCCUCGGUGUACAUAUAUAUAAUUUAGGCUCGGGAUUUCAUGUCUUCAUACAUGUAAUCCACUUGAGUUGUUUCCGCUGCAACACUUAAUGUACCUUACUUUAUUGAUGUGUUGUAGAGAUUUUAAACCAAUAGCUUCGAGAAUUAUAUCAUUUAGACAACUUGUCUUUAUGUUAUUGUAAGUUGUCUACUCGUGAGUUUUAAAAGUGAUUGUAUAUGAUUACCAGACAUUAUGGUAAAGUAUUGCUCAAGUAAAAUAAUUAUUUUUAUUGAAA